GGGGCCGCUGCUGGUGAGUGUGGGUGAUGAACUGUGAAUGGUGUGUGUUUGUGAGGCCCUAAAUCCCGCGGGCCGCUCCCUGCCGCUGGUACCCCGACAUCAUCCCUAGAGGAGCGACGUGGCUGCCUGGAAGAGAAAAUGUUUUAUGACUUCUAUUGAGGUUGGACACCGAGGAUUCAAACUUCAAAGCUCAUUGAAGGAAUUGGAAAUCAGAAAUGCUGACAGGAGACCAAGGUGGGCACUGCUACUCCAAACUCUCUACAUGCCUUUAGAACAUCGCAACCCUUGAAACUUUUGGCAAGAAAGCAAAGAGUUUAUGUGUGUCUGCAAGUAUAAAUGUACAUUGAGAGUGUAUUGCAGAAGCUCCCUUUUACAGUAUAGAAUAACUAGUGCAGAGGCAGCUGGUCAGCUGGCAGAGCAUAAAGGACUGGAGUGCUCAGCGAUAAAAAGGCCAGCUAUAUCAUACCACUCUUCUCAUGACUCAGGGACAAUCACAGAAGAUAGAGUAGAAAGACUAUAAGAGCCAGAGGUAACAGCCAUCUAAAGCAACAGAGUAUUGUCUGGACAGGACAAGACUAUUGCACACACAAACUCACAAUAGCUUUGAGUGCACGCACAAGACCUGCACAGACAAAAUGCUAGGAUAUAUUUGGGAGGGGCUCAAAACGUGGAAGCCUUCUCUGAAAAACUGCUAGCAAUUGAUAGCUUCCUGGGUAGAGAUUCAGUUUUCCUCAGGGAUUAGAUGCCUAGGAGACUAUUCAUGCUCCAAUAGAUGGCCCUACCCAAGUACAUACGGACCAGCAUUGAGUGGAUGUAGUGGGUUAACGAAAAAUAAAAGAUCAUAAGAGAGAUUGUGAAGGAAUCGAAGGGUUGGGAAAGGUGAGUGGAUUUGAUUGAGAUAUAAUACAGGCAUGUGUGGGAUACCCAAACAAGUUAUCAACAUUCAUCAAAAGAAAUAUAUAAAUUUCAAAACAAGGUAGAUGUAAUAAAUAUCUAUGUUAUAUGUCUGAAAAAAUAAAAUUAGUGAGAGGUUUUAAUAUCAUUUCUACAAACUUCAGUUUCCCAUUUGGAAUAAUAAACCAGAAUUACUUUAUUAAAGGUAGCAUUGCAUCAUAUGCAAAUGUAAAAUAAACGUUUAUUCAAAUGAGGGUAUGUGUCCUGUUGAAACUGUUUAUCGAACACAAUGAAGACUGUGGACUUGUGUUUGAUUUCCAGGAUCAAGUGGUAAAAAUGAGAGAAGCACCUCCCCCCAUGUGCAUAUCAUGACACAUCCUCUACCCCAAAAUAAGUAAGAGAAAUGUUUCUUUAUAAUAAAUGCCCACAAAAAUCCCAGGUGAGAAUGCAAGUCGGGAACUGAAGGAUACAACUUUGUUUACAAAGUGAAAGAAUCUUCUAUAUAAGUUCCUUAAUAAUUCCCAAAUAUGUUCUGAGUAUAAAUCUGUUUUCUCAUAUUCACCAAGUUAGAAAAACCAAAACAGAGAAAUGAAAAGAAAACUGGAGCAAACACCCAUUUGGCAAUUCUCAAGUCAAAAUUGUAGCUUGAUCAAACUCUAUUUUCCUUGAAAGCUGUAUUUAGAUGGAUGGUUAGACUCCCAGAUUCUUGAAAGAAAAACAGCUGUAAAGUGGGAGCAACUAGUCUUACAAAGAAAUAGUCUGAGCUACUACUCUCUCACACUAAUGUAUCUGGGUCACAUUUCAUUAGCGCUAAAUGUCUGUGUUCCACCAGCUAGAUUAAGCUGUAUACAUUGCUUCUUUCAAAGAGAGUCUGUAAAUGUUCGUAAAGUAGUUUUACACUAGAAUAUAUCAACCAUUCAGUGUAUAUUGAUGGUUUCUGAUAUUUUUAAAGCCAACUAUUCACACAAUUGUAAACAUAUAGAAUAGAUGGUAAGAAAUGCAUUGCUAACUUUCUGUGAAAUUGUCAAUAGAUUGCUUUUCAGUUUAUUCAACUAUUCUGAAAACACAAAUCGAACUUCAAUAACUCAACCCAAAAACUCCUAGAAAAGUGCACUAUGAAUUUUGUUCAGUCUUUGCCCAAGUAUAUGUCUGUCAUUACUAAUGAAAUCAUGAACUUACAGGAAUUUCAUUUGUAGAACUGUUUAUUUUAUAUUUAAGAAACCUUUUAUAUAUUAAUACAUGUAAUCUUCAAAAUUAAGAGUUAAGCUUUUAUUAUUCCAACUUUAUGAUAAGAAAACUCUGAGGUUGCAUUCAUAACUACCAUGGAAAUGACAUACUUAUAUAUUGAAAGGAAAAACCCACAAUCAGUCUAUGAAUAUUUCAACAUCAAUCAGAGAAAUGAAACAGAAAACAGUGAUCAAUUAUUUCUAAAAAAAAAGUGAAAUAAUCUAUAGUAAGUUAAUUAUGGAUAUCAAAUGAUGUCCUGUACAGAUCAUUAUCCUUAGAGACACAUUGUAUUUGCCAGAGUGAUUUGCUCAUAGUUGUCUUAAAUAAUUGCUGGCAUUUGUGGAUUUAAGUUCUUUGGUAUACAGAUCAGAAGACUCGAUGCCAAUAUUAAAGGUGAUAUGACCUUGGUUGUCUCAGUAGAUAUUAGCAUAUCUAAUGUAUGCUUUUGAUUCCCAAAAGUGCUUUCUGAAAACAUACUGGCCAUCACUGUUUAGACAUCUAUUUUUCCUCAAAUUGUUUCACUUCUAUGUGCUGCCUUCUAUGUGCCACCUAACUUAUGCCUCCCCCAAUCCACAUCCUGAAAAUUCUUGCUCUCUUAACACCCUGUAAUUACCUUAGAGGCACAUUGGUUGAUGAUGAGAAAUGGUUGAUUACUGUUGCUGUCAGUUGAAUCACAGCUCAUUACCAAUUCCAACCCCUUCACAAUUUCACCAUUGGCUGUAGCCCUUCAGUACCAAUAAAUCGUAGCCUGCUACCU